GUCAGAGUAAAAGUAAGGCGUAAAGUGUUAUGGGAUGGAAUGUUGCCCAUAAACGAAAACACAUUUUUGAGUUGCGGUCUUACUUUGCAUUCGCUAC
rnacentral:ncRNA from 2 species